GUCGAGGCCGGCAUGGUAGGGCAGGGCGUUGAAGCCGUCCUUGGCCAGCGUCUCGGCGAGCUGCUCGGUACGCUUCCUCGACG
rnacentral:tRNA from 1 species